UACGUAGGGUGCGAGCGUUGUCCGGCAUUACUGGGCGUAAAGCGCGCGUAGGCGGCUUUGCAAGUCGGGUGUGAAAUCCCCAGGCUCAACCUGGGAACUGCAUUCGAGACUGCAUUGCUAGAGUAUGGGAGAGGGAAGUGGAAUUUCCGGUGUAGCGGUGAAAUGCGUAGAUAUCGGAAGGAACAUCAGUGGCGAAAGCGACUUCCUGGACCAAUACUGACGCUCAUGUGCGAAAGCGUGGGGAGCAAACAGG
rnacentral:rRNA from 1 species